rnacentral:rRNA from 1 species
AUGCCAUCAUGGUGGGGGAAGUCUUCCUCCAAAGAUGCAAAGAAAACCACCAAAGAGAACCUCAUGGAUACAUUUCAUCGGUUUAUAAGUCCAAAUGAGCAAAAAGGAAGCACAAAAUCAAAACGGAGGUAUAGACGUGGCGAUGAUACAGCUGUUGAAAAGGUCUGCCAGUCUACCACAGUAUCGCGCGCAACUUCACCCUCAAAAGAAGUUUCUCGCUGUCAAAGCUUUUCAGCUGAUAGGCUACAUUCCCAACCACUUCCUGUUCCUGGAUCACGUCCUGCAGUCACACGCACUGCUUCUGAUGUCACUGAAUCAAGGCCCAUAUUAGAAAAACGUGGCAAACCACCACUGCUUCUGCCACUUCCUAAACCUAACAGGCCUCAGAGAAGGUCAGAAAUAGUGAUUGCUUCCCUCUCUAGCAACUGCUCUGUUGAUAGUGAUGACCAUGGAGAUUCUCAGCUUCCGAGCCCUGUUGGAAAUGAUGCUGAAAACACAACAAAUACUACUUCCAAGAGCAAGUCAAGUAAUGUGCGCAAAGAGCGUCCUGGUGCUAUCACCACCAAGAAUACCAAGGAGACGGCAAAGACAGCUAAUCAAUUCCUCAGUAACCAUACAUUGUCCACAUCGCCGAGAGGUAUUGCAGCUGAUAAUCACCAACCUAAUCCACAAAAUCCUCGGCCGGUAGUCUUGGAGAGUGCUCCGAAUAGUUUGAUGUCAAGUCCAUCUAGAAGUCCGAGAAGAAUAUGUCCGGAUCAUAUUCCAACUUCAGCCUUUUGGGCAGUGAAGCCUCAUACAGAUGUUACUUUCCUUGGCUCUGGUCAGUGCUCCAGUCCAGGUUCAGGGCAAACAUCUGGGCACAACUCCGUGGGUGGUGAUAUGCUAGCCCAGCUUUUCUGGCAGCCCAGCAGAGGUAGUCCAGAGUGUUCACCGAUUCCUAGCCCAAGAAUGACAAGUCCUGGCCCUAGUUCCAGGGUGCACAGUGGAAGUGUUUCUCCGUUGCAUCCGAGGUCUGGAGGGAUGGCACCUGAAUCUCCGACAGGUCGGAAUGAUGGUGGGAAGAAGAAGCAAACCCACAGAUUGCCUCUUCCACCACUGAGCAUCUCUAAUAAUUCAUUUUUUCCAAACAAGUCCACGCCAGCUAGUCCUAUUUCAGUGCCUCGUAGUCCUGGUCGACCAGAGAAUCCACCGAGUCCUGGAUCACGAUGGAAGAAGGGGAAGCUGAUUGGUCGUGGGACAUUUGGCCAUGUAUAUGUCGGCUUUAACAGUGAUAGCGGUGAAAUGUGUGCUAUGAAAGAGGUGACCCUAUUCUCGGAUGAUCCUAAAUCAAAGGAAAGUGCAAAGCAGUUGGGGCAGGAAAUAUCGCUCUUGAGCCGCUUACAACACCCAAAUAUCGUACGAUACUAUGGCACAGAAACGGUUGAUGACAAACUGUAUAUAUAUUUGGAGUUUGUGUCUGGUGGAUCUAUCCAUAAACUUCUACAAGAGUAUGGACAGCUUGGUGAACCAGCAAUACGCAGCUACACUCAGCAGAUACUCUCAGGCUUAGCUUAUUUGCAUGCGAAGAAUACAGUCCAUAGGGAUAUCAAAGGUGCAAACAUACUAGUAGAUCCUAGCGGUCGUGUUAAGCUUGCAGACUUUGGAAUGGCUAAACAUAUCAAUGGGCAGCAAUGUCCUUUCUCAUUUAAGGGUAGCCCAUAUUGGAUGGCUCCAGAGGUUAUAAAGAGUUCGAAUGGUGGUUGCAAUCUUGCGGUUGACAUAUGGAGUUUAGGAUGCACUGUCCUGGAGAUGGCUACCGCAAAACCCCCAUGGAGCCAGUACGAAGGGAUUGCUGCAAUGUUCAAGAUUGGAAAUAGCAAGGAACUUCCACCAAUACCAGAUCACCUAUCAGAGCAGUGCAAGGACUUCAUCAGGAAGUGUCUGCAACGUGAUCCUUCUCAACGGCCGACAGCAAUGGAGCUUUUGCAACACCCGUUCAUACAAUAUAAAGUCCGACUUGAGAAAUCCGUUAUGUCUGAUCCUUUGGACCAUUUGCCCGUGAUAUCUUGUAGACCGAAUUCUAAGGUGGCUGGACAUACAACAAAUAUUUCGUCAUUGGGAUUGGAGGGUCAGACAAUUUACCAGAGAAGGGGUGCAAAAUAUUCUUCGAAGCAUAGCGAUAUCCAUAUACGGAGCAAUAUAUCAUGUCCAGUUUCUCCAUGUGGAAGUCCUCUGCUAAGGUCAAGGUCUCCCCAACAUACAAAUGGCCGAAUGUCACCCUCUCCAAUUUCAAGCCCCAGAACCCUUUCAGGCACCUCUACUCCCCCGUCUGGUGGAAAUGGUGCUAUUCCCUUUAAUCAUUCGAAGCAACCAACCUACAGCAAUGAAGGAUUUGCAAUCGCAUCAAGAGGCCCAGAUGAUCACUUCCCCAACCGGCCUACAGAUCGUAACCUUGGGCAAUUUGGUCGAGUGCAUCAAGUCUCACAGGUGAGUCAGGAGAGGAUAGUAACUGAAGCUAACAUUCUGAGCCCUCAAUUUGGAAAGAGGCUUGGAAACGUUUUUGAUCUGCGAGAUAGACUGUCGCCUUCUGAACAUUUCAGUCGUCCUACCUUGGUGGAUCAUGUGAAGCCAAAUCCUUCACUAGACUUAACAACUUGUUCUCCCCACCUUGGACACAAGCGUGAUAACUAA